UACGGAGGGAGCUAGCGUUAUUCGGAAUUACUGGGCGUAAAGGGAGCGUAGGCGGACAUUUAAGUCAGAGGUGAAAUCCCGGAGCUUAACUUCGGAACUGCCUUUGAUACUGGGUGUCUUGAGUGUGAGAGAGGUAUGUGGAACUCCGAGUGUAGAGGUGAAAUUCGUAGAUAUUCGGAAGAACACCAGUGGCGAAGGCGACAUACUGGCUCAUUACUGACGCUGAGGCUCGAAAGCGUGGGGAGCAAACAGG
rnacentral:rRNA from 1 species